GGGGCAUUAGCUCAGCUGGCUAGAGCGUUUGACUGGCAGUCAAGAGGUCAGGGGUUCGACUCCCCUAUGCUCCA
rnacentral:tRNA from 1 species